UUAAGCGACUAAGCGUACACGGUGGAUGCCCUGGCAGUCAGAGGCGAUGAAGGACGUGCUAAUCUGCGAAAAGCGUCGGUAAGGUGAUAUGAACCGUUAUAACCGGCGAUGUCCGAAUGGGGAAACCCAGUGUGAUUCGUCACACUAUCGUUAACUGAAUACAUAGGUUAACGAGGCGAACCGGGGGAACUGAAACAUCUAAGUACCCCGAGGAAAAGAAAUCAACCGAGAUUCCCCCAGUAGCGGCGAGCGAACGGGGAGCAGCCCAGAGUCUGAAUCAGCUUGUGUGUUAGUGGAACGGUCUGGAAAGUCCGACGGUACAGGGUGAUAGUCCCGUACACCAAAAUGCACAGGCUGUGAACUCGAAGAGUAGGGCGGGACACGUGGUAUCCUGUCUGAAUAUGGGGGGACCAUCCUCCAAGGCUAAAUACUCCUGACUGACCGAUAGUGAACCAGUACCGUGAGGGAAAGGCGAAAAGAACCCCGGCGAGGGGAGUGAAAAAGAACCUGAAACCGUGUACGUACAAGCAGUGGGAGCACCUUCGGGUGUGACUGCGUACCUUUUGUAUAAUGGGUCAGCGACUUAUAUUCUGUAGCAAGGUUAACCGUAUAGGGGAGCCGCAGGGAAACCGAGUCUUAACUGGGCGUUAAGUUGCAGGGUAUAGACCCGAAACCCGGUGAUCUAGCCAUGGGCAGGUUGAAGGUUGGGUAACACUAACUGGAGGACCGAACCGACUAAUGUUGAAAAAUUAGCGGAUGACUUGUGGCUGGGGGUGAAAGGCCAAUCAAACCGGGAGAUAGCUGGUUCUCCCCGAAAGCUAUUUAGGUAGCGCCUCGUGAACUCAUCUUCGGGGGUAGAGCACUGUUUCGGCUAGGGGGUCAUCCCGACUUACCAACCCGAUGCAAACUACGAAUACCGAAGAAUGUUAUCACGGGAGACACACGGCGGGUGCUAACGUCCGUCGUGAAGAGGGAAACAACCCAGACCGCCAGCUAAGGUCCCAAAGUCAUGGUUAAGUGGGAAACGAUGUGGGAAGGCACAGACAGCCAGGAUGUUGGCUUAGAAGCAGCCAUCAUUUAAAGAAAGCGUAAUAGCUCACUGGUCGAGUCGGCCUGCGCGGAAGAUGUAACGGGGCUAAACCAUGCACCGAAGCUGCGGCAGCGACACUAUGUGUUGUUGGGUAGGGGAGCGUUCUGUAAGCCUGCGAAGGUGUGCUGUGAGGCAUGCUGGAGGUAUCAGAAGUGCGAAUGCUGACAUAAGUAACGAUAAAGCGGGUGAAAAGCCCGCUCGCCGGAAGACCAAGGGUUCCUGUCCAACGUUAAUCGGGGCAGGGUGAGUCGACCCCUAAGGCGAGGCCGAAAGGCGUAGUCGAUGGGAAACAGGUUAAUAUUCCUGUACUUGGUGUUACUGCGAAGGGGGGACGGAGAAGGCUAUGUUAGCCGGGCGACGGUUGUCCCGGUUUAAGCAUGUAGGCUGGUUGUCCAGGCAAAUCCGGAUAAUCAAGGCUGAGGUGUGAUGACGAGGCACUACGGUGCUGAAGUAACAAAUGCCCUGCUUCCAGGAAAAGCCUCUAAGCAUCAGGUAACAUUAAAUCGUACCCCAAACCGACACAGGUGGUCAGGUAGAGAAUACCAAGGCGCUUGAGAGAACUCGGGUGAAGGAACUAGGCAAAAUGGUGCCGUAACUUCGGGAGAAGGCACGCUGGUGUGUAGGUGAAGUCCCUGCGGAUGGAGCUGAGACCAGUCGAAGAUACCAGCUGGCUGCAACUGUUUAUUAAAAACACAGCACUGUGCAAACACGAAAGUGGACGUAUACGGUGUGACGCCUGCCCGGUGCCGGAAGGUUAAUUGAUGGGGUUAUCCGUAAGGAGAAGCUCUUGAUCGAAGCCCCGGUAAACGGCGGCCGUAACUAUAACGGUCCUAAGGUAGCGAAAUUCCUUGUCGGGUAAGUUCCGACCUGCACGAAUGGCGUAAUGAUGGCCAGGCUGUCUCCACCCGAGACUCAGUGAAAUUGAACUCGCUGUGAAGAUGCAGUGUACCCGCGGCAAGACGGAAAGACCCCGUGAACCUUUACUAUAGCUUGACACUGAACAUUGAGCCUUGAUGUGUAGGAUAGGUGGGAGGCUUUGAAGCGUGGACGCCAGUCUGCGUGGAGCCAACCUUGAAAUACCACCCUUUAAUGUUUGAUGUUCUAACGUUGGCCCCUGACCGGGGUUGCGGACAGUGUCUGGUGGGUAGUUUGACUGGGGCGGUCUCCUCCCAAAGCGUAACGGAGGAGCACGAAGGUUAGCUAAUCCUGGUCGGACAUCAGGAGGUUAGUGCAAUGGCAUAAGCUAGCUUGACUGCGAGCGUGACGGCGCGAGCAGGUGCGAAAGCAGGUCAUAGUGAUCCGGUGGUUCUGAAUGGAAGGGCCAUCGCUCAACGGAUAAAAGGUACUCCGGGGAUAACAGGCUGAUACCGCCCAAGAGUUCAUAUCGACGGCGGUGUUUGGCACCUCGAUGUCGGCUCAUCACAUCCUGGGGCUGAAGUAGGUCCCAAGGGUAUGGCUGUUCGCCAUUUAAAGUGGUACGCGAGCUGGGUUUAGAACGUCGUGAGACAGUUCGGUCCCUAUCUGCCGUGGGCGCUGGAGAAUUGAGGGGGGCUGCUCCUAGUACGAGAGGACCGGAGUGGACGCAUCACUGGUGUUCGGGUUGUCAUGCCAAUGGCACUGCCCGGUAGCUAAAUGCGGAAGAGAUAAGUGCUGAAAGCAUCUAAGCACGAAACUUGCCCCGAGAUGAGUUCUCCCUGAGACUUUAAGUCUCCUGAAGGAACGUUGAAGACGACGACGUUGAUAGGCCGGGUGUGUAAGCGCAGCGAUGCGUUGAGCUAACCGGUACUAAUGAACCGUGAGGCUUAACCUU
rnacentral:rRNA from 1 species